UGGCCGACGGGGCGCGCGCGGCCGGGAGGGGCGGGGCGGACGCAGAGUCGCGUUUAGUCUAGCGCAGCGGUCGCGAGCGCUCUGGGUAUCCUGUGCUG
rnacentral:pre_miRNA from 1 species